rnacentral:rRNA from 1 species
AAUCAACGCUGGCGGCGUGCCUCAGACAUGCAAGUCGAACGAUUAAACUUUCCUUCGGGAAAGAUAUAAAGUGGCGCACGGGUGAGUAACACGUAGGUAAUGUACCUUUGGGUGGGGAAUAACCAUCGGAAACGAUGGCUAAUACCGCAUAAUGCAGCGGCAUCGCAAGAUGACAGUUGUUAAAGAUUUAUCGCCUAAAGAGCAGCCUGCGGCAGAUUAGGAGUUUGGUAAGGUAAUGGCUUACCAAGCCUGCGAUCUGUAACCGACCUGAGAGGGUGGUCGGUCACACUGACACUGAAUAAC